rnacentral:rRNA from 1 species
CCUACGGGGGGCUGCAGUGGGGAAUAUUGGACAAUGGGCGAAAGCCUGAUCCAGCCAUGCCGCGUGUGUGAAGAAGGCCUUCGGGUUGUAAAGCACUUUCAGUGGGGAAGAAAGCCUUGGGGCUAAUACCCUCGAGGAAGGACAUCACCCACAGAAGAAGCACCGGCUAACUCCGGGCCAGCAGCCGCGGUAAUACGGAGGGUGCGAGCGUUAAUCGGAAUUACUGGGCGUAAAGCGCGCGUAGGCGGUCUGAUAAGCCGGUUGUGAAAGCCCCGGGCUCAACCUGGGAACGGCAUCCGGAACUGUCAGGCUAGAGUGCAGGAGAGGAAGGUAGAAUUCCCGGUGUAGCGGUGAAAUGCGUAGAGAUCGGGAGGAAUACCAGUGGCGAAGGCGGCCUUCUGGACUGACACUGACGCUGAGGUGCGAAAGCGUGGGUAGCAAACAGGAUUAGAUACCCGAGUAGUC